CACUGCGGUAAUUAAGAUGUUCAAAAUUCCGGUGAUUUAUUUUAUGAUCGUGAAUUUUUUAAAUUAAAUUUAAAAUUGUUUUUAAGAAAACGAUUCGCAAAAGUAUAAAAUAAAGAUUUGUUAUUUCUAAAGAAUAAUUCACAUUAAAUGGAUAAAAAGUGAAAAAUGUUAGAAGCGUAUAACAAGUAAUUGCAUAGCAAAAAAAUAAUUUUCUACCUAGCAUUUACAAUUUUUAAAAAGAUCAAAGAAUGGAAAGUUAUCAAGAUGAGAAAACUCAAGAACAAUUAAUAGUUCGAGUAUCUACUGUGCACGAAGUGGAAGAUCAAGAAGUUAUAAUCCCAAGAUUCAAUUGUAUUCAAUUAUUUUGCGAUUGUUGUCUUUGUUUAACGGCGUGCGUUGAAGUAGUGUUUUUAUGUUCUGAACUCUGUCGCUGAAGGUGAAGAAUAAUGUAAAGUGUAAAAUUUGCAAGUUUUUUUUUUACACAUUGUUUGAUAUUAAUAUAUAAAAACAAUAAAAUGUUUUAAUUUAAAA